rnacentral:misc_RNA from 1 species
GAUGAAGAACGUAGCGAAAUGCGAUAAGUAGUGUGAAUUGCAGAAUUCAGUGAAUCAUCGAAUCUUUGAACGCACAUUGCGCCCUUUGGUAUUCCUUAGGGCAUGCCUGUUCGAGCGUUAUUUAAACCUUCAAGCUCAGCUUGGUGUUGGGUGACUGUCCGCUUCACCGCGGACUCGCCUCAAAAUUAUUGGCGGCCGGUACAUUGGCUUCGUGCGCAGCAGAAACGCGAACUCGGGCCCGUCGUAUUGGCUCCCAGAAGCUAUCUUCACAAUUUUGACCUCGGAUCAGGUAGGGAUACCCGCUGAACUUAAGCAUAUCAAUAAGCGGAGGA